rnacentral:rRNA from 1 species
CACGUAGGAGGCGAGCGUUGUCCGGAAUCAUUGGGCGUAAAGAGCGCGCAGGCGGCUUGGCAAGUCGGGUGUGAAAUCCCGGGGCUCAACCCCCGUGACUGCAUCCGAUACUGUCAGGCUAGAGGUAGGUAGGGGAGAUCGGAAUUCCUGGUGUAGCGGUGAAAUGCGCAGAUAUCAGGAGGAACACCGGUGGCGAAGGCGGAUCUCUGGGCCUUACCUGACGCUUAGGCGCGAAAGCUAGGGGAGCGAACAGG